UCUACGGGUGGCAGCAGUGAGGAAUAUUGGUCAAUGGGCGCGAGCCUGAACCAGCCAAGUCGCGUGAGGGAAGACGGUCCUAUGGAUUGUAAACCUCUUUUGUCGGGGAGCAAAAGACGCCACGCGUGGCGUUCCGAGAGUACCCGAAGAAAAAGCAUCGGCUAACUCCGUGCCAGCAGCCGCGGUAAUACGGAGGAUGCGAGCGUUAUCCGGAAUGAUUGGGCGUAAAGGGUGCGCAGGCGGUCCUGCAAGUCUGGAGUGAAACGCGUGAGCUCAACUCAAGCAUGGCUUUGGAAACUGGAGGACUGGAGAGCAGGAGAGGGAGGUGGAACUCUAUGUGUAGCGGUAAAAUGCGUAGAUAUAAGGAAGAAUACCAGUGGCGAAGGCGGCCGCCUGGCCUGUUGCUGACGCUGAGGCACGAAAGCGUGGGGAGCAAAUAGGAUUAGAUACCCCUGUAGUC
rnacentral:rRNA from 1 species